rnacentral:sRNA from 1 species
AAAAGAGGAAGUUCGGUUUAAACCGGCGCGUCAAUAGCCAACACCGAACUGAUCUGCAUCCUGCAGG